rnacentral:rRNA from 1 species
AACGAACGCUGGCGGCAUGCCUAACACAUGCAAGUCGAACGUGAUCCGUUCCUUCGGGGGCGGUGAAAGUGGCAGACGGGUGAGUAACGCGUGGGAACCUGCCCAAUGGUAGGGAAUAACCGCGGGAAACUGCGGCUAAUACCCUAUGAGCCCUUUGGGGCAAAGAUUUAUCGCCAUUGGAGGGGCCCGCGUCGGAUUAGGUAGUUGGUAGGGUAACGGCCUACCAAGCCAUCGAUCCGUAGCUGGUCUGAGAGGAUGAUCAGCCACACUGGGACUGAGAUACGGCCCAGACUCCUACGGGAGGCAGCAGGUGGGGAAUAUUGGACAAUGGGGGAAACCCUGAUCCAGCAAUGCCGCGUGAGUGAAGAAGGCC